AUUGAACGCUGGCGGAAUGCUUUACACAUGCAAGUCGAACGGCAGCACGGACUUCGGUCUGGUGGCGAGUGGCGAACGGGUGAGUAAUAUAUCGGAACGUAUCCAAUAAUGGGGGAUAACUAAUCGAAAGGUUGGCUAAUACCGCAUACGCCCUACGGGGAAAGCUAGGGACCUUCGGGCCUGGCGUUAAUGGAGCGGCUGAUAUCUGAUUAGCUAGUUGGUGAGGUAAAGGCUCACCAAGGCGACGAUCAGUAGCUGGUCUGAGAGGACGACCAGCCACACUGGAACUGAGACACGGUCCAGACUCCUACGGGAGGCAGCAGUGGGGAAUUUUGGACAAUGGGCGCAAGCCUGAUCCAGCCAUUCCGCGUGAGUGAAGAAGGCCUGG
rnacentral:rRNA from 1 species